rnacentral:rRNA from 1 species
GAUGUUGGGUUAAGUCCCGCAACGAGCGCAACCCUUGCCAUUAGGUUGCUACGAAAGGGCACUCUAAUGGGACUGCCGGUGACAAACCGGAGGAAGGUGGGGAUGACGUCAAGUCCUCAUGGCCCUUAUAGGUGGGGCUACACACGUCAUACAAUGGCCGGUACAGAGGGUAGCCAACCCGCGAGGGGGAGCCAAUCCCACAAAGCCGGUCGUAGUCCGGAUCGCAGUCUGCAACUCGACUGCGUGAAGUCGGAAUCGCUAGUAAUCGCGGAUCAGCAUGUCGCGGUGAAUACGUUCCCGGGUCUU